rnacentral:rRNA from 1 species
ACGGAAGGCAGCAGUGGGGAAUAUUGCACAAUGGGGGAAACCCUGAUGCAGCGACGCCGCGUGAGUGAAGCAGUUAUUCGUAAUGUAAAGCUCUAUCAGCAGGGAAGAAAAUGACGGUACCUGACUAAGAAGCCCCGGCUAACUACGUGCCAGCAGCCGCGGUAAUAAGUAGGGGGCAAGCGUUAUCCGGAUUUACUGGGUGUAAAGGGAGCGUAGACGGCUUAGCAAGUCUGAUGUGAAAGGCAGGGGCUCAACUCCUGGACUGCAUUGGAAACUGUUAAGCUAGAGUGCCGGAGAGGUAAGCGGAAUUCCUAGUGUAGCGGUGAAAUGCGUAGAUAUUAGGAGGAACACCAGUGGCGAAGGCGGCUUACUGGACGGUAACUGACGUUGAGGCUCGAAAGCGUGGGGAGCAAACAGGAUUAGAUACCCUGGUA